AGGUCUUGACAUCUUCUGCCAACCUAAGAGAUUAGGCGUUCCCUUCGGGGACAGAAUGACAGGUGGUGCAUGGUUGUCGUCAGCUCGUGUCGUGAGAUGUUGGGUUAAGUCCCGCAACGAGCGCAACCCUUAUUACUAGUUGCCAGCAUUCAGUUGGGCACUCUAGUGAGACUGCCGGUGACAAACCGGAGGAAGGUGGGGACGACGUCAAAUCAUCAUGCCCCUUAUGACCUGGGCUACACACGUGCUACAAUGGAUGGUACAACGAGUUGCGAAACCGCGAGGUUUAGCUAAUCUCUUAAAACCAUUCUCAGUUCGGACUGUAGGCUGCAACUCGCCUACACGAAGUCGGAAUCGCUAGUAAUCGCGGAUCAGCAUGCCGCGGUGAAUACGUUCCCGGGCCUU
rnacentral:rRNA from 1 species